UACAGAGGUCCCGAGCGUUGUUCGGAUUCAUUGGGCGUAAAGGGUGCGUAGGCGGCGGGGAAAGUCUGAUGUGAAAUCCUGGGGCUCAACCCUGGAACUGCAUUGGAUACUUCCUUGCUAGAGUACUGGAGAGAAAACUGGAAUUUACGGUGUAGCAGUGAAAUGCGUAGAGAUCGUAAGGAAGACCAGUGGCGAAGGCGAGUUUCUGGACAGUUACUGACGCUGAGGCACGAAGGCCAGGGGAGCAAACGGG
rnacentral:rRNA from 1 species